UACGUAGGAUGCAAGCGUUGUCCGGAAUUAUUGGGCGUAAAGAGCUCGUAGGCGGUCUGUUACGUCUGCUGUGAAAACCCAGGGCUUAACCCUGGGCUUGCAGUGGAUACGGGCAGACUAGAGGCAGGUAGGGGAGAAUGGAAUUCCCGGUGUAGCGGUGAAAUGCGCAGAUAUCGGGAGGAACACCGGUGGCGAAGGCGGUUCUCUGGGCCUGACCUGACGCUGAGGAGCGAAAGCGUGGGGAGCGAACAGG
rnacentral:rRNA from 1 species